GGGACUAUAGCUCAAGGGAAGAGUGCUUCAAUUGCAUUGAAGAAGUUGAAGGUUCAAGUCCUUCUAGUUCCC
rnacentral:tRNA from 1 species